UAUUCUGCCCAUGCGGGAAGGAUGAGAAGCUUCGACCAAGGUUCGAUUCGAGCGUAGCGAGAAAGCGUUGCCGCAGGCAACGACCCGAAGGGCGAAGCGCGCAGCGCUGAGUCAUCCUUCCCCCACCACCA
rnacentral:sRNA from 2 species